rnacentral:rRNA from 1 species
CUACGGGACGCAGCAGUGGGGAAUAUUGCACAAUGGAGGAAACUCUGAUGCAGCAACGCCGCGUGGAGGAUGACACUUUUCGGAGCGUAAACUCCUUUUAUAUAGGAAGAAGAUGACGGUACUAUAUGAAUAAGCGCCGGCUAACUCCGUGCCAGCAGCCGCGGUAAUACGGAGGGCGCAAGCGUUACUCGGAAUCACUGGGCGUAAAGAGCGUGUAGGCGGAUUAAAAAGUCAGAAGUGAAAUCCUAUAGCUUAACUAUAGAACUGCUUCUGAAACUCUUAAUCUAGAAUAUGGGAGAGGUAGAUGGAAUUUCUGGUGUAGGGGUAAAAUCCGUAGAGAUCAGAAGGAAUACCGAUUGCGGAGGCGAUCUACUAGAACAUUAUUGACGCUGAGACGCGAAAGCGUAGGGAGCAAACAGGAUUAGAUACCCCCGUAGUC